CCUCUCUGUCCUGUUAUAGGACUUAGCAGCCGCUGUAUUCUGUAUCUAAUUUUUAGGUCAAUGAGACACUCCAUAUCCGUGGCUAUAGAAAACCAAUACAGAGGUAUUACAGUAACUUAGUUACCCUCUUAUUUUCUAGGGAUCAGAGCUUAUUUAGAUUCUGCUUUUUGUGACAUUCCACAUAUCUAUAUGUCAUAUGUAUCCUGAUCAUCUAUUCAUUCUACAUAGACAUUUUUCUCUCUUUUUCUUAUACCUAAACUAUCUCCUAUUGUACAUAGUUUCUUUAUUGUGCGACAUUGGAGACUGCCUCUAUCUAUAAAUAUUUUGUCUUUUUGUAACAAUUAAAAGUUAAGUUUUAACUACCAUACC